AUUGAACGCUGGCGGCAGGCCUAAUACAUGCAAGUCGAGCGGUGCAGUUUGAAGCUUCGGUGGAAAGCUGCAUAGCGGCGGACGGGUGAGGAAACGUAGGAACGUGCCCCUUGGAGUUGGAUAGCCACGGGAAACUGUGGGUAAACCGACAUAGACUCGAGAGAGUAAAGGCCGAAAGGCGCCAAGGGAGCGGCCUGCGGCCCAUCAGGUAGUUGGUAGUGUAAAGGACUACCAAGCCGACGACGGGUAGCCGGCUUGAGAGGAUGGCCGGCCACAAGGGCACUGAGAGACGGGCCCUACUCCUACGGGAGGCAGCAGUGGGGGAUUUUGGACAAUGGGCGAAAGCCUGAUCCAGCGACGCCGCGUGGAGGACGAAGCCCUUCGGGGUGUAAACUCCUUUUCUCAGGGAAAAAGGAUGAUGGUACCUGAGGAAUAAGCCCCGGCUAACUACGUG
rnacentral:rRNA from 1 species